rnacentral:rRNA from 1 species
AUUGAACGCUGGCGGAAUGCUUUACACAUGCAAGUCGAACGGCAGCACGGACUUCGGUCUGGUGGCGAGUGGCGAACGGGUGAGUAACAUAUCGGAACGUAUCCAAUAAUGGGGGAUAACUAAUCGAAAGGUUGGCUAAUACCGCAUACGCCCUACGGGGGAAAGCUAGGGACCUUCGAGCCUGGCGUUAAUGGAGCGGCCGAUAUCUGAUUAGCUAGUUGGUGGGGUAAAGGCCCACCAAGGCGACGAUCAGUAGCUGGUCUGAGAGGACGACCAGCCACACUGGAACUGAGACACGGUCCAGACUCCUACGGGAGGCAGCAGUGGGGAAUUUUGGACAAUGGGCGCAAGCCUGAUCCAGCCAUUCCGCGUGAGUGAAGAAGGCCUUCGGGUUGUAAAGCUCUUUCGCAAGGGAAGAAAACUUACCCUCUAACAUAGGGUGAGGUUGACGGUACCUUGAUAAGAAGCACCGGCUAACUACGUGCCAGCAGCCGCCGUAACAC